UCUCAUUUUAAUUUAUUUUAUCUUACUGCAUACACUUUUACGUUAAUCGCAAUUGAAUUUCAUCAAAUAUUUAUCGACAUGUAUAUUAUUUUCCUAAAUUAAAAAGGAAAUGUGAAAAAAAACAGAAUACAUAUAUAGCAAUUUUGUUCAAAUAUGUUAAAGCUACAUUACUAUUCCAAGAAAAACCAUUACACUGCCCUUUCAUCUUGUCAACUACAAAUCAUUUCACCAAUAUAUAUAUGGGCUAUAUGUAUAUAUACAACUGUGUAUUACACAGUCGGGUUACGACGACAAAUUUUUUAGACUGACGACGGUUCACCCGUCGCCGUAGCCCAGAAUAACUAUGGCGACGGGUGAAACUGUCGCUAUCUGUGUUACUCGGACUCGACUGUUUCAGAUGGAGUACCCGUGUCGACACGAUCCGACACGGGUGCAGGAUAUGUGUCGGGUACGACAAUUUCAAUAUGGAUACGGCUGAACGAAUGAAGCUGAGCGGGAUAUGAGUGACAAAAAAGAGAAAAAAGGCUGAAAGAGAGGUAGAGAGUAAGAGAUUGAGACUUAUCUUCUAUUCUUCUCCUCCUCUUCUUCUAUUCUUCUCUUAUUCUCUUCUAAUCUUUUGAUCUUCUCAUCUUCUAGUGUUCUAAUCUUCUCCUUUUCUUCUCCAAAGUUUUCUUCUUCAA
rnacentral:lncRNA from 1 species